rnacentral:misc_RNA from 1 species
GUGAGUCAUCGAAUCUUUGAACGCACAUUGCGCUUCGUGGUAUUCCGCGGAGCAUGCUCGUUUCAGAAUCAUUAAAAAACUCACAGCCUGUGGAAUGUUGUCGGGUUUUUACUCCUUGUGGGUAUAACCUGCGGCAUUACCACCGGCCUGUAGGAUAUGGGCACUUUUGGAGAUCAUAACCAAUUGCCUUAAAGUUAGUGAGUGCGUGACUUUUUGUUAAUUUGCCGACCCUCAGUGCAACAGCUUUAGAUUCACUCCUGGGCACAAAUUGGGAGUCACCACCUGUAAAUAACACAGAGC